UACGUAGGGGGUGAGCGUUGUCCGGAAUUAUUGGGCGUAAAGAGCGUGUAGGCGGUUCGGUAAGUCUGCUGUGAAAUCCUGGGGCUCAACCCCGGGCGUGCAGCGGAUACUGCCGGGCUAGAGGGUGGUAGAGGCGAGUGGAAUUCCGAGUGUAGCGGUGAAAUGCGCAGAUAUUCGGAGGAACACCAGUAGCGAAGGCGGCUCGCUGGGCCACACCUGACGCUGAGACGCGAAAGCAUGGGGAGCGAACAGG
rnacentral:rRNA from 1 species